rnacentral:misc_RNA from 1 species
AAAAUACUCUGGAUCAAGGUAACCCUGCAAAGUCAAAACAAUUUUUGAGACAUCUAGAUAUCCCGUCUCACAACAGAUCGAAAAGCUUGAAUAUUUGUUAUUUCAAGAAGAUUUAUCAACUGAUAUCCAACUCUUCUUCUUAAAUUUGGUUAUUCAUUCAAAUAAGUCAAUGAAUAAGUUGUGAUUUAAACAUCAUAAUGCUCUAACCAACCAAAAUACAGCAAAGGUAACUAGUUUUUGCCUUGUGGACUUUGGAGUGUGAAAUUAAUGAAUCAGUUUACUCAAACAUGAUGAUUUUCAUGACAUUGGACAUAUAGGACAUUCAAAUGUUCUUUUCUUUUAUCCAUUUGCAGCUUAAUGAACUUAAAGCAGGGUAUUACUUGUUACCAAACGUCCAGAGAUGGACAUGCUACAAACUGAACAGUGCCAUGAUAAAACAAAAGAGAGAAGAAGACCAAGAUCAAUUCUCUGAUGAAUAAAAUUUGGAAUUUAGUAGUCUUACUAGAGGGAAUAAAUAUAGUAAACCUACUGGGGUACCCUUUACAACUGUGGACACAUGAGCUGGCACA